GUGUCAGCAGCCGCGGUAAUACGGAGGAGGCAAGCGUUAUCCGGAAUUAUUGGGCGUAAAGCGUCCGUAGGUGGUUAAUCAAGUCAGCUGUUAAAGAGCGGAGCUUAACUCCGUAGAGGCGGUUGAAACUGGUUGACUAGAGUUUGGUAGGGGUCGAGGGAAUUCCCAGUGUAGCGGUGAAAUGCGUAGAUAUUGGGAAGAACACCGGUGGCGAAAGCGCUCGGCUGGGCCAAAACUGACACUGAGGGACGAAAGCUAGGGGAGCGAAAGGGAUUAGAAACCCUAGUAGUCC
rnacentral:rRNA from 1 species